UACGAAGGGGGCUAGCGUUGUUCGGAAUCACUGGGCGUAAAGGGCGCGUAGGCGGCUUUGUAAGUCGGGGGUGAAAGCCUGUGGCUCAACCACAGAAUUGCCUUCGAUACUGCAUGGCUUGAGACCGGAAGAGGUAAGUGGAAUUCCUGGUGUAGCGAUAGAAAUGCGCAGAUAUCAGGAAGAACACCCGUGGCGAAGGCGGCUUUCUGGGACGGUACUGACGCUGGAGACGCGAAAGCCGUGGGGAGCGAACAGG
rnacentral:rRNA from 1 species